rnacentral:rRNA from 1 species
UACAGAGGUCCCAAGCGUUGUUCGGAUUCACUGGGCGUAAAGGGUGCGUAGGCGGUCGGGUAAGUCUGAUGUGAAAUCUCCAAGCUUAACUUGGAAAUGGCAUCGGAUACUAUUCGGCUCGAGGAAUGGAGGGGAGACUGGAAUACUUGGUGUAGCAGUGAAAUGCGUAGAUAUCGAGAGGAACACCAGUGGCGAAGGCGAGUCUCUGGACGAUUCCUGACGCUGAGGCA